UACGUAGGGGGCGAGCGUUGUCCGGAAUUAUUGGGCGUAAAGAGCGUGUAGGCGGUUCGGUAAGUCUGCCGUGAAAACCUGGGGCUCAACCCUGGGCGUGCGGUGGAUACUGCCGGGCUAGAGGGUGGUAGAGGCGAGUGGAAUUCCCGGUGUAGCGGUGAAAUGCGCAGAUAUCGGGAGGAACACCAGUAGCGAAGGCGGCUCGCUGGGCCAUUCCUGACGCUGAGGAGCGAAAGCGUGGGUAGCAAACAGG
rnacentral:rRNA from 1 species